rnacentral:rRNA from 1 species
UACGUAGGGGCAAGCGUUGUCCGGAAUCAUUGGGCGUAAAGAGCGUGUAGGCGGCUCGGUAAGUCCGCUGUGAAGGUCCAGGGCUCAACCCUGGAAUGCCGGUGGAAACUGUCGAGCUAGAGUCCGGAAGAGGCGAGUGGAAUUCCUGGUGUAGCGGUGAAAUGCGCAGAUAUCAGGAGGAACACCAAUGGCGAAGGCAGCUCGCUGGGACGGUACUGACGCUGAGACGCGAAAGCGUGGGGAGCAAACAGG